rnacentral:rRNA from 1 species
UACGUAGGGUGCGAGCGUUAAUCGGAAUUACUGGGCGUAAAGCGUGCGCAGGCGGUUUUGUAAGCCAGAUGUGAAAUCCCCGGGCUUAACCUGGGAAUGGCAUUUGGGACUGCAAGGCUUGAGUGCGGCAGAGGAGACUGGAAUUCCUGGUGUAGCAGUGAAAUGCGUAGAUAUCAGGAGGAACACCGGUGGCGAAGGCGGCCUGCUGGGCAGUUUAGCUGACACUGAGGCGCGGACAGCGUGGGGAGCAAACAGG